AUUUAUAUAUAAGGUGUAUAUAUAUAUAUAUAUGUUUUUUUUGUUAUAUAUAUAAUAUGGUAGUAUUCUUAUUGCUUGUUCAUUUAAUAUUUACUAAUUAAUUUGAAGUUUUGUCGGCUUCCGGGGUGGAAGGAAGGUCGGGUGCAUUUACAACUGACCCUACAUUGUUAAGGUGGUUGAAGGUUUUUAACUGCAUGGUCGAUCCCAAAGGAGCUGUCGCCCCGAUCGGUAAUAGAAUGGCUAUUUUCAUCUCGUUUUUUAAUUCUUUCUUCUUCUUCUCUCCUAGUUUGAUGGCUUGUGAGAUGGUAGAGGCUUCUACCAUCGUAUUACGGGAAGAGAUCGCUGAAACUUGGGAGUUCGUUGUGCGACUCCAGGAUGAACGGCUGGGUGUUAUAUCCGACCACUCGUCAUCCCAUCAGUCGGCCAUUUUCGGUUAAUAACUCUAUAAAGGAAAAGAAUUUCCGGUCGGGUUACAAUCCCUUUCGGUUUGGAAGAAGAAGAUGGAGAGUUGACAGGAG
rnacentral:lncRNA from 1 species